rnacentral:lncRNA from 1 species
AGCGCGGGGGGGGGGGCGUGGAGGGGGGUGACCGGGGAGGGGUGCCUGGAACGUAUUACCUCGCCUCACACCAGCCAGGCAACGACAACUGCUUCACUUAUCAUCCUACAGCGGCUUAGGGCGGAGGAAUAAAGAGCAGCAGGCCCAGGGACCUCUUCCUCCCACCCACCCCUUGAGGCAGCCGUGAUCUUCCCAUGCCCUUGGCAGGAGGGGCGAGAAAGUGUAAGUUACCCAGCAUGGAUCGGUUUUCACUCUCAGGGCCCGAGAACUACCAGGGAAGCCCCUUAGCGUGCAGAGAACUCACCUGGGAAGCGGCCCUGUGCAUAGGCCGGUCACACCCAGCAACCGACCUGUCAUUAGACCGAGACAGAAGCCAACUCGGUGCUGGUUAGUCUGUCACUUCAGUGUUGCAGCAGCAUCCCCACACAGCUCUGCCAGCGCACCUCACACCUGGCUUGCCAUACCUGUCCGAUUCCAGUCCCGAGCCUCCACGCGGCUUGGCCAGUGCCCCAAUCCUGAUGCACGGAGCCCGCGUUCCUCGCAUUCUAGGCCCCUCUUGAGCCAAGAUGGAGAGUGCCCAAUUCUGUACUGGUGACUAGGCUGAGAACACCACACUCAUUACACUCGUGACCAAGGCCAACAUUUGAAACUAAAUCCCUGUCCCCAGGUUCGGGGGUGGGACUGGAUUUUGUCCUAAGCCUUGUGCAUUUCACCUGUCUGCUAGCCUAGCUUAUUGCAGGCAAAGUGAAUUUCAUCCUCUCUGUCUUCUUCUUUUUUUACUGAAUUAUUUUUUUCCUUUUUGCUGUGAAAAAGAGAGUCCAGAAAAGGAGCCCAGUUGACUGGCUUUGGCUUUCUCCUCUCCCCACUUUUUGCAAAAACACAGAUUAUUCCUCCAGAAUGACAGGAAUGCUCUGAAAUCACCACCCCAGCUCAAAACCAGAGCCACAUUGGCUAUGAGGCCUUAGAAGACUCCACGGUUUCCAUCUGAAGGAAUCUGUGUGCCUAUUUCCUGUAGGUCCAAUGGGCCUGAGCUCUUCCUCGGGUUGACUGACCUUCUGAAAACUCACAGCCAUGCCCAGUCAAAGGUGCAGCAUCUCAGCUGGUUGGACAAAACCCAUAAACAUACGCAGGCUAGGCACAUCCAGCAAAUAUCCUCAGCUGAUGACCCAGGCUUGCCCAGUCUAUUUAAUGUUCCCAAGGAACGCGCUGCCAGGACAUGCUUCCCUUAUGGCAGCCAUGGAAGAGUGAAGAACAAUGGCCCUAUCUGUGGCUCCCACAUCACCUUUGCAAAGGAGAAGCUGGUGACAACUGAAUGCUGGGAGGCAAAAGUAACUCACAAAGUUGAGCUCAGAGCUAAUUUGCAGCAGAAGGUAAAGAUUAUGCAGCAUCUGACCCAAGAGAGAAUAGGCAAAGCUGGCUCUACCAGUCCCAAGAAAACUUCUCUGAUGUGCGGAGCUGCAGACUGACCUGCUUGCUGCAGUGUGUGUCCACCCCCAGACUACCCUGUUAUCAAACCAACGUUUCACAAUUCUCUAGGCUUUUUCCUCCUGUGGUUGUGACAAAGCGAACUCUGGCAUGCGUCAGCCAGGAAAAGCACCCACAAGCCACGCUGUCCUUACUAGGGGAACUUCUUGGGUCUCUCCAUUCACACCAGGACCAGGAAAAAAUGAGUCUGGUGCCUUCCCAAAGGCCUCGUCUACACUAGAAAAGGUUUGCCAGUAGAGCUAUCCAUAC